UUUGCAUUACUUUGAUUUUUUUAAUCAUAAUUUUAUACUUUUUGUUUUGUUUUAAAUUUCAAUUUAUGAAAAUUUAUUUUCAUUGUUCAAUAAAAAUCAUUUAUCAAAACAUCGAAGUAAAUACUUAAAAUUAAUUUUCAACAAAAACAUUGAGGAAACUGGACAAGAAGGCAAGUACUGCUUUCGGGAAAAGAAGAGUCUUUAGUAAAAAUUGAGUUUUCUUAUGAACCUAGAUCCUAGAGGAUUCCAGCACGAACGGGCAAAUGUGUUGGAAACGACGAUUGUCGUUAACAUUUUGAACUCUGACCACGAAAAGAGCAGGUUUAUUGAGGAUUCAUUACUUGUGGUAUCAAAACGGUGAGCUUAUUGAAGAAAAAAAAAAAAAGAAAAGGAAGAAAAAGAAGAAGAUAAGAACAAGAAGAAGAACAAGAAGAAGAAGAAAAAAAAGAAGAAGAAGACGAAGAAGACGAAGAAAAAAUUAUAUCAAAGACCGAAAAAUUCGUGCAAAUAAAGGGUCCAUAAGAAAAACAGUACAAGUUUAUUCCAACUCAUUCUGAUGACACGUCUAUAAGUCAAGGAAAUUUCAAAGAAGUUUAGAAAUUUUAGUGGUUAACAUAUUAUAUUUAAUAUAUUUAACACGAAUGUUGUAAGUAUAGAUAAUUUAUUGCUUUUCUAAUAUUUUUAAGACAUGUUUUUUAAUCGAUUGCUGAAAAAGGGUAUAAGCAUACCCGAAACGUCGACUAGUACGAAUUAGAAUAUAUUGAAGAAAAUUUAUUUUACUGAAAAAGGUCACGAAAGGAGGAAUUCAUUAAUUAUACCAAAUAACUCGAAACGGCUCUAACGAUUUUGAAUAAACUUUGUAGACGUAAUAUUCAAAGCAAUUGCAAUAAAACUGCAUUUUUAGUUUUUCUAAAAAAGUCAAAUAACAAAAAAAAAUGUUAAUUUAAGAAAAUUUUACCCUUUGUCGGCUCUUUCCCAACAUCAACAAAAGUUCUUUAAAAUUUAUAUAGAGCCAGCUCUUAAAAUGUACAAGUAUUAUAAAAUAAAAGCGUUUUGAACUGCAAGAGCAAGUAUACGUGUAACCCAAUCGUGCAUUUUAUUUUAAUAACGCUUAAAUUCGUCUUCUUAUAGUAAGGAUGCCAUCACUAAAAGACCUCAUCAUGGGUUUUAAUUUUGACUAAAAGUGGCCAUU